rnacentral:rRNA from 1 species
ACGGGGUGCAGCAGGCGCGAAAACUUCACAAUGUGCGAAAGCACGAUGAGGGAAUCCCAAGUGCUUGCACGUAAGUGUAAGCUGUUUCUAUGUUUAAAACGCAUGGAGAGUAAGGGCUGGGUAAGACGGGUGCCAGCCGCCGCGGUAAUACCUGCAGCUCGAGUGGUGGCCGCUAUUAUUGGGCCUAAAACGUCCGUAGCCGGCUUAAUAAAUGCCUGGGUAAAUCGUGUAGCUUAACUAUACGAAUUCUGGGUAGACUGUUAAGCUUGAGAUCGGGAGAAGUUAGAGGUACUCCUGGGGUAGAGGUGAAAUUCUGUAAUCCUAGGGGGACCACCAGUGGCGAAGGCGUCUAACUAGAACGAGUCUGACGGUGAGGGACGAAGCCCUGGGUCGCAAACCGGAUUAGAUACCCGGGUAGUCCAGGGUGUAAACGCUGCUUGCUUGAUGUUAGUCGGGCUCCGAGCCCGAUUAGUGUCGGAGAGAAGUUGUUAAGCAAGCUGCCUGGGAAGUACGGUCGCAAGGCUGAAACUUAAAGGAAUUGGCGGGGGAGCACAGCAACGGGUGGAGCGUGCGGUUUAAUUGGAUUCAACGCCGGANAACUCACCGGAGGCGACGGUUACAUGAAGGCCAGGCUGAUGACCUUGCCAGAUUUUCCGAGA